ACGGAGGGUGCAAGCGUUAUCCGGAUUUACUGGGUUUAAAGGGUGCGUAGGUGGGUAGGAAAGUCAGUGGUGAAAUCUUCAAGCUUAACUUGGAAACUGCCAUUGAUACUAUUUAUCUUGAAUACUCUGGAGGUAAGCGGAAUAUGUCAUGUAGCGGUGAAAUGCUUAGAUAUGACAUAGAACACCAAUUGCGAAGGCAGCUUACUACAUAGUUAUUGACACUGAGGCACGAAAGCGUGGGGAUCAAACAGGAUUAGAUACCCUGGUAGUCCACGCCCUAAACGAUGGAUACUCGACAUUAGCGAUACACAGUUAGUGUCUGAGCGAAAGCAUUAAGUAUCCCACCUGGGAAGUACGAUCGCAAGAUUG
rnacentral:rRNA from 1 species